rnacentral:rRNA from 1 species
CGCUGGCGGCUGCCUAACACAUGCAAGUCGGACGCUUGUCGGGCUUCGGUCCGGCAGGAGUGGCGCAUGGGUGAGUAGCGCGUGGGAACCUGCCCUGUUGUGGGGGAUAACCGAGGGAAACUUCGGCUAAUACCGCAUGCGCCCCGGACUUUCGGGUUUGGGGGAAAGAUUGAUUCGCAGCAGGAGGGGCCCGCGUCGGAUUAGCUGGUUGGCGGGGUAACGGCCCACCAAGGCGAUGAUCCGUAGCUGGUCUGAGAGGAUGAUCAGCCACACUGGGACUGAGACACGGCUCAGACUCCUACGGGAGGCAGCAGUGGGGAAUAUUGGACAAUGGGCGCAAGCCUGACCCAGCAAUGCCGCGUGAGUGAUGAAGGCCUUCGGGUUGUAAAGCUCUUUCGCCCGCGACGAUGAUGACGGUAGCGGGAGAAGAAGCCCCGGCUAACUUCGUGCCAGCAGCCGCGGUAAUACGAAGGGGACGAGCGUUGUUCGGAAUCACUGGGCGUA